rnacentral:rRNA from 1 species
UACGUAGGGUGCGAGCGUUGCCCGGAUUUAUUGGGCGUAAAGGGCGCGUAGGCGGCUUGGCACGUCCGUUGUGAAAUCGCCCGGCUCAACUGGGCGGGGUCAGCGGAUACGGCCGAGCUUGAGCAAGCUAGGGGGCAAUGGAAUUCCCGGUGUAGUGGUGGAAUGCGUAGAUAUCGGGAGGAACACCAGUGGCGAAGGCGGCACGCUGGAUCUCAUCUGACGCUGAUGCGCGAAAGCCAGGGGAGCAAACGGG